CAGCAGCCGCGGGAAUACAGAGGGUGCGAGCGUUAAUCGGAUUUACUGGGCGUAAAGCGUGCGUAGGCGGCUUCUUAAGUCGGAUGUGAAAUCCCUGAGCUUAACUUAGGAAUUGCAUUCGAUACUGGGAAGCUAGAGUAUGGGAGAGGAUGGUAGAAUUCCAGGUGUAGCGGUGAAAUGCGUAGAGAUCUGGAGGAAUACCGAUGGCGAAUGCAGCCAUCUGGCCUAAUACUGACGCUGAGGUACGAAAGCAUGGGGAGCAAACAGGAUUAGAUACCCCGGUAGUCCCUGUCUCUUAUAC
rnacentral:rRNA from 1 species